rnacentral:rRNA from 1 species
CCCUUAGAUGUUCUGGGCCGCACGCGCGCUACACUGAUGCAUGCAACGAGUUCCUUUGAUUUGGGUUGGGAGUCUCUCCCACCUCACUUCUAUCCUUGGCCGAGAGGCCCGGGCACUCUUGUGAACCUGCAUCGUGACGGGGCUAGAUCUUUGCAAUUAUGGAUCUUCAACGAGGAAUGCCUAGUAGGCGUUGGUCAUCAGCCAGCGUCGAUUACGUCCCUGCCCUUUGUACACACCGCCCGUCGCUUCUGCCGAUUGGACGCUGCGGUGAAGACCUGGGAUUGAGAAGGGGGGUUUGGAGGUUUUCGGAUUUCCAGCCCCUCGUCCCGAGAACUCGUCUGAACCCCAUCGUCUAGAGGAAGAAGAAGUCGUAACA